GUUUGUAGCCAGACUUUUGGCUGCUUUGUGGGUUUUUCUUUCUUCUACCCUUAUGCUACCCUUUCAGCCCUUUAACAUAUAUAGGAGAGAAAAAGGAAAGAGGGGAAAGGGGCAUUGUUAUCCUUAGACUACUUCCUGCUGAUUGGGUGUGUUGAAUUCCUUGGGGCAAGUUUGAGCUUUGCUGUCAAAAUAUCUAAUUUCUUCUCUUUAUUUCUUCUUUGCACAAAACUACUUGACCAACUACAACCAAUAACCUUCUGGAGGCAUUUAUAUACCCGUGGAAGAGUCCCCAGAAUUCCAGAUGUCACACACUUGCAGAAACUAUCUGGAUCUGGCAAAAUCACACCCCUGUUAGAGCAUGAGCUGCCAAAUGUUUCAAGUUUCCAAAGUGGACAUCUUCUACUGGCUACUCCUUCAGUAUAGAUGCAUUUCUGAAUGUUCUGGAACUCACAAAGAUCAAAAUGCCUCUGCCUCCUGAGUGCUGGUAUUAAAG